rnacentral:rRNA from 1 species
UACGGAGGGUGCAAGCGUUAUCCGGAUUCACUGGGUUUAAAGGGUGCGUAGGAGGGCAGGUAAGUCAGUGGUGAAAUCCCCGAGCUUAACUUGGGAACUGCCGUUGAUACUAUCUGUCUUGAAUGUUGUGGAGGUGAGCGGAAUAUGUCAUGUAGCGGUGAAAUGCUUAGAUAUGACAUAGAACACCAAUUGCGAAGGCAGCUCGCUACACGAUUAUUGACUCUGAGGCACGAAAGCGUGGGGAUCAAACAGG